rnacentral:rRNA from 1 species
GUGCCAGCCGCCGCGGUAAUUCCAGCUCUAUUAGUGUAUGUUAAAAUUGUUGCAGUUAAAAAGUCCGUAGUCGAUCUUAUAAAAUGCAUAAAUACUUUUUUGCUCGCUACGGCUUGCGAAACAGGUAUUUUGCAUACUUAAGAUAUAAUGUCAGAAGUGAAGCGUGAUUAAGUUUACGUGUAGCCGGCAUUGAUUACCUUGAAAAAAUUAGAGUGUUUAAAAAAGGCUAAAAGCCAAAAUAUAUUAGCAUGGAAUAAUAGAAUAGGGUCAUUAAUAUAAUUAAUGGCAAUGAGUAAUAGGGACGGUUCGGGGGCAUAAGUAUUCUUAGGUUAGGGGUGAAAUCCAGUGAUCCGUAGAAGACUAACAAAAGCGAAAGCAUUUGCCCAGGACGUACCCAUUGAUCAAGGACUAUAGUUGGGGGAUCAAAGAUGAUUAGAUACCAUCGUAGUCCCAACCGUAAAUGAUGCCGACUUUUCUCCCGCUUUAUUAUUUAUGAUAAUUUUGUGGGGGGAUAAGGAGAAUCUAUAAGUUUAUGGUUCUGGGGGGAGUAUGAUCGCAAGGUUGAACUUAAAGGAAUUGACGGAAGGCACCACCAGGAGUGAGCCUGCGGCUUAAUUUGACUCAACACGGGAAAACUUACCAGGUCAGGACAUAUAAGGGAUUGACAGUAUUAAUAGAUCUUUCAAGAUCAUAUGGGUGGUGGUGCAUGGCCGUUCUUAGUUGGUGAAUUAUUUUGUCUGGUUAAUUCCGACAACGAACGAGACCUUAAUUAAAUAUUUUGUGCCAAAGAUAAAUGCUUUGGUUAACUAGAGAUAUAAAGACUAUUGAUUUAUAAUCAAUGGAAGUUUUAGGCAAUAACAGGUCUGUGAUGCCCUUAGAUGUCCUGGGCUGCACGCGCGCUACAUUGACCAUGUCAGCGUGUAUAAUUAUUAUUUAAUAAUGUUUCCUUAGCGAAAGCUAGGGGCAAACAUGAAAUAUGUGUCGUAAAGGGGAUAGUUUUUUGCAACCCCGGACUUGAACGAGGAAUUCCUAGUAAGUAUGGGUCAUCAACUCAUGUUGAUUACGUCCCUGCCCUUUGUACACACCGCCCGUC